GAACGCAUAUUGCGCUCUUUGGUAUUCCGAAGAGCAUGCUUGUUUGAGUAUCAGUAAACACCUCAAAACUCUUGAUCUUUUUCAAGCGUUUUGGACUUGAGCAAACCCAACGCCUUUUCUUUUAAGAUCUGUUGCGGCGGGUUGCUUGAAAUGCAGGUGCAGCUGGACAAUCUCCUGAGCUAAAAGCAUAUUUAUUUAGUCCCGUCAAACGGAUUAUUACUUUUUGCUGCAGCUAACAUAAAGGGAGUUUUGACCAUUAUGGCUGACUGAUGCAGGAUUUCACAAGGGUCGGCAACGAUUCUUGUAAAACUCGAUCUCAAAUCAAGUAAGACUACCCGCUGAACUUAAG
rnacentral:misc_RNA from 1 species